AGAUGUUGGUCGUGAUGAUGAUGAUGAUGAUGAUGGUGAUGAAGAUCAUCAUCAUCAUCAUCAUCAUCAUCAUCAGCAGCA
rnacentral:pre_miRNA from 1 species